CAUGAGUUUCUCAUUCUCUUUCUGAAACACUUAUUAACAUAGUAUCCUUAAGCAAAGUUAUUCUAAAGGGGUAUGUGAGGAAGAGAUGAGGUAGGGGAAAUGGGUACUGAAAAAGAAAUGGAUUCCUUAUGACCAACUUAAGAAUAACAGAAAAGAUACCAAAAAGUACAAAAAAUAAACCGAGAUUAAGAGAAUAACUUGUUUCCAUUCAAAAUGGAAUAAAAUUGUAUUCAUGUAAGGACGUGAGGAGGACCUCUGCCUCAGGUGAUGAAGAAAUCCAAACAGCGUGUUGGUUUCAAAUUGCAACAGCAAAGACAAGCUCCUUCUGUGCACUCUAACAGGUUAAUAUUCAAGCCAUAGAAACAUUCCUUAGACUACAAAGUCUAACUCAGCCCUUACUGAAUCUGACUGAAGAAUUUUUGUAGAUUCUACAGAGAGGGUGUAGAGUGUUACUUACCAUGUGGUCAUGUCCCAUUGUUUACGUAGGAUGUCAGCCAUUAUAGAAACAAAUAAAAAAGUAAAAGGCAAAAAGCAAACAGAAAAACCCCAACAAGAAUGGGAGCUUCAAAACUUCACAGCUUCAAGACUUCGACUUCAAAAGGUUGGCACUCAGCACCAGGCAUCCAGAAACUGCAGUCGCUGGACUUCAAAAGACCCAGUCACAUCCUGAGCUCAGAGAAAGUCCUCAUACACUACCUCCAGAAGAGAUGAGACACACCAGCUCGGAC